AUUGAACGCUGGCGGCAGGCCUAACACAUGCAAGUCGAACGCAGUGGGGACGGGUGAGUAACACGUGGGUAACCUCCCAUCAGAGGGGAUACCACUUGGAAACAGGUGCUAAACCGAUACUGAUGGAUGGAACCGCGGUGCAUUAGCUAAUUGGUUAGGUAACGGCUCACCAAGGCCACGAUGCCUAGCCGACCUGAGAGGGUGAUCGGCCACACUGUGACUUGGACACGGCCCAGACUCCUACGUGAGGCAGCAGUAGGGAGUCUUCGGCAAUGGACGAAAGUCUGACCGAGAAACGCCGCGUGAGUGAAGAAGGUUUGCGGAUCGUAAAACUCUGUUGUUAGAGAAGCGGUAUCUAACCAGAAAGCCACGGCUAACUACGUGCCAGCAGCCGCGGUAAUAC
rnacentral:rRNA from 1 species